UUACUUUUCUUCUUCCCUGAAAACAACCAGAGAGCUGUAAAUGGAAGAAUCAAAAAGAAAAUGAAAAUAGUUAAGACCCACAGAACUCUCUACCUUGAGCCACAUAUGCAUCACCCCCACCCACUAGGAGUGAACUUGUGGAUCCCUCUUUGUGUUCUCACCCACUAGGAGUGAACUUGUGGAUCCCUCUUUGUGUUCUCCCCUCUGUACGACGGCUCCAGUACGCGUCCAUGGAUCCCCAGGGAUCUGUGUGCCUUUGAAACUAGGCGUUUGUGGGAACAAGAGCCAUAGCUUUAUUCAGAUUCCCGGAGGAUCCUGACCGGCAAAAAGUUAUGUCUCUGAUAGGCCCCUAAUGCCUUCAGGCAGCCUGAGAGCCACGUGACAGAGCCAGGCACUCGGAAGAGCAAGGAUGACAGGUAUCACGUUUAAGCCACCCAGGUGCCGAGGCAAGACACUGAAGGCACGAGCUGUUCCAGUGUAAUAGAGAAUAUAAUUAGAAUAAGAAAAGUUAUACUAGAAAUAGGAUAUAGAUAUAAUUAUAUACCAAUAUUAUCAAUCAUUAGUUUGUAGUAUUACUCUUUACUAUUAUAAUAAUCUCUGUUCUAUAAUUAUAACCUAGGAAAAACCAGGCCAUACAGAGUCAGGAGCUGAAGGACACUGUGAGAGGUACCAGAAGACAAGAGUGUGAGCCCUCUGUUACGCCCAGAUAAGGGUCGCUUGAAGGCUCCCCGGACCACUGGUAGCACCAGUGCCUGGGAAGGCACCUGUUACUUUGCAGACCGGCAAAGGGAGUCUCCCUCUCCCCAGGGUAGUCAGAGAACACUCUGCUCCACCACAUCUUGUGGGAGGCCUGACAUUACCCAGGCCUGCCCGCAGUCAUCCACGGGCUUAAACAGCUCCCUGUGGUGCUUCAACGGUCACGCUCCUUGUCCACUUUCAUGCUCCACCUGUACACCUGGCUCCUGCUUUUCAGUUCUUAGAAGAUAGCAGUAGCACAAUUAGUGAAAGUAUUAAAGUCUUUGAUCUUUCUGAUAAGUGCAUAGAAGAAAUGCUGACGUAUGCUGUCCUCCCUCUCCGCCUCACCUACCACAAAGGGAAAGGACCCCUGUCCGGUGGACAUGUCACUCGCGUGACCUUAUCAAUCACUUGAGAUGACGCACGCUC
rnacentral:lncRNA from 1 species